rnacentral:misc_RNA from 1 species
UUGGUCUUGGAACUGCAUUAAAGAUUCUCUUCUCAGUUGAUGGUGAAUAUCGUCAAGAUCAACAUCUGCAGUUGCAAAGAAAUGAAGUGAUUGCUCUUGUAAACCUACUUAAUCGGCUAUCAGAAUCUAUCAAGCUAGUACAGGAAAUGAGCCCUACAUAUGAGAAGACAAUGAAGGGGCUAAGUCUACAGCCAGCUGCUAAGUUUAUAAGUUCGUGGAAUAGACUAUUGAAAACUGUACUAGGAGAUAGGUUGAGGAAGCUUACAUGAUAUUGAUAUAAUUUUGGUGUACAAUGAUGUAAAGAAUGAAUACAACUAAACUAUUGAAAGGUGAGAAGAUUUCUACAGCCGGAUAGCAUACAGGGAUACACGGAUUUAUCGCGGG